GUCUUUUGAGGUAUGGACAGCUUCCAGCACUCACUCCUGCUACCACGAAGUGGGCUAUCCUUUCUGACUUGCUGUGGCGAUGGACUGAGGUCUCUGAGACCCUGAGUCAGAAGAGAACACACUUCCCUUGUUUCUAUCAGGUGCUGUCAUGAGAACACGAAGUAACCAAUGCAUUCCAGUAGAGAGAGAUUGAAAAUGAAAAGAAGUUACAACACCGCAGAGGCAGAGGAUCCUCUAGGCUCCGAAGACAAUGGUGGUUUGAAAAUUGAACGGAAAGUCAAGGCCAGAAGACGGUGGCCGCAGCUGAGUUAAUGUGACACACAGGGGAUGGAGACAAGGCACCACACUAAUAAUGAAGCUGAGGGUUGGGGAAGGCAGAGAGGGUCAUUCCUGAAGGCGAAAUGGACCCAACGAUAAGUGGGUGAGAACAGCCAUUCCUAAGAGCUUGUUCAGAUGGGGGUACAAAGGCAGAUAGGAUAAUGCAUCCUGAUUCAGGGUUUGCUGACACAUGGGCAUCCUGAUUCGCCGUUCACUUGUGAUCUUUCCGUUCAUUGCUCCAUGCAUUAUCUCAGCAACAGUUUUCAAGCGUGAUCCUACGGAUGCUUUAUUCCCAUCAAGUGGCAGCUAGCCAGGCUCAUCAACACUUCAAGGUGUUAGAUACAGUUGAGAGCACUAUCCUCAUUCUUUCUACUACAGGACCCAAGUGUGCUGAUGAGGGAAAGCAGAGGUUUUUUUCUCUCUGCAUAAGACCUUGAUCAAACUGUUUGCCAUUGUAAGCCUUACUUCCUUUAACUAAGGCAGAGGCAAUAAUGCAGAUCUUAGAUGAUGCCUGGGAUCUUACCUACAGACAAAUGAGGCCAGGUUCACUUUUAACUCUUUAUGUGCGUAAAUUCUAAUCCCGACAAUAGUCCGACGAUGGCAGAAUCAUAAAUUACAAAGGAGAGAACCGAGCGCAGAGAUCCAAGUCAUUUUUCACAGCCACUCAAUGGUAGACGUGACACCAGAGACUCACUGCCAUUCUGAAAUGCUCCAUCACUUUUGCUGAGGUUUACGGAGCUGACUGACAGGUGGUUUCCUUUCAGCCAUUACCAGAGAGCCUGGGGCAGGGUUACAUUCUGCCAUCUCUGGGAGACAUAAUGAAUAUGGCAGCCAAACGAAGCACUUUACUUGAGCAAUUCAAACAUACCAAUAGUUUGUUACAAGGCACCAAAAUCUCCAAAGCCGUGUUUUCGGUUUUGUUUUGUUUUUUUUUUUUUUUUUUUUUUUUAAUUAUGAAUUAUGUUCACGGACUAUUUUGAUGUUUGGAAAAAAAGUAUAGGAGCCAAUGGAUAUUAGCAGGGGAGAGAAAAUGAGAAGAGAAAUGAAUGGAAUUUAUUUGUAAGGAAAUUAAAAUAUGCUGUUGGUUGCAUGCAAAAUCAAAAGCCUUUAAUGAAACAAAGGACUGUAGGUAAUGGAUCAGUUAUGCGUGGACAGAGCAGACUAGUGGAUGGAGCAGGACUCUUUGGAGCCUUUCAAUUUCAACCUCUGGCCGUCACUUAUUCGUUAUGCAUGAAUAAAGGUAUUACUAAACUCA
rnacentral:lncRNA from 1 species